GGAAGUUCCAGCUUGCUAUUAGAGGACCUGGAGGUGCUCUCUUUUUAGCCCCGACCCCGCUAGUAGAAGACUUAGCGUGGCCUGCAAUAAAGAAGAAGAAGAAAUUCAGAAUAUCGGCUAUCACAAGAAUAUGGUGAAAACAUCACUCAC